UCACUUGUUUCAACCCUGGAUCCUUCUCAAAUGACAAUACUUUUGUCGCAUAUCGUCCUUGCACUCAAGAGGUCGAGCUUUCAGCCUUGUGAGUAUCAAAGACGUUCUGAUUAUUUUUUAGCAAAUGGAAUAUGAUUCAAACAUCUAAUUAUUUUGGACGGCACCUCGUCUCAGCCAUUUAUUAGGAAUGUCAUGACAAAAGUUCUUGCUAAUUUACAUCAUCAAUCACUUGUAAAGUUUUCCAGGCAAUUGAUAUUUAGGUAAAAGUGUUAAGGCAAUGCAUCUUUCGUUUAUUUGGUGAACAGAAGUUCUCACUAGAACCUCACCUCGCCUAAGUGCAUUCUGUGUCAAUUUGCACUUUAGUGAACAUCAUUAUGUUCAUGGUAAACUAUAUCACCUCGUUUAUUUUAAUGGCUACAAGCGGGGCAUGAUCACAUCUAAUAACUUGUGCUGUACCUGGAGGGGAUGAAGUAACAUGGUGAGGUUCCUUAUUUAAUUUUGAAAGCUGGGUCCUAAAUGCCAAUCCAUUUCAAAAUUGGCUUUUAUGUGAACAUGGCUGAACUUUCUCUUCUGAUUGUUGAUCACCAUCAAUAAUUGGAACCUAUUAGGGUUUUCAUGAUCAAGCUUGCUAUGAAUCAAUGUUUUCAAAUAAAGGUUCGGUUUCUGGUUUAAUGGGAUCAGUUAUUUAUUCAGCACUCUCAGUUCAAACGAAAAUAAGGCAUUCUCCUCAUGCCUUUCAUUAUCAUGCCAUUGUACGUUAUGCCCAUGUUCAUGUUCUGUCAGAGAAUAUAUGUUGUAGGAAUGACAACUAAUAGAAUAUUG
rnacentral:misc_RNA from 1 species